GACGAACGCUGGCGGCGUGCUUAACACAUGCAAGUCGAACGGAAAGGCCCUGCUUUUGUGGGGUGCUCGAGUGGCGAACGGGUGAGUAACACGUGAGUAACCUGCCCUUGACUUUGGGAUAACUUCAGGAAACUGGGGCUAAUACCGGAUAGGAGCUCCUACUGCAUGGUGGGGGUUGGAAAGUUUCGGCGGUUGGGGAUGGACUCGCGGCUUAUCAGCUUGUUGGUGGGGUAGUGGCUUACCAAGGCUUUGACGGGUAGCCGGCCUGAGAGGGUGACCGGCCACAUUGGGACUGAGAUACGGCACAGACUCCUACGGGAGGCAGCAGUGGGGAAUAUUGCACAAUGGGCGGAAGCCUGAUGCAGCAACGCCGCGUGCGGGAUGACGGCCUUCGGGUUGUAAACCGCUUUCGCCUGUGACGAAGCGUGAGUGACGGUAAUGGGUAAAGAAGCACCGGCUAACUACGUG
rnacentral:rRNA from 1 species